GCGGUCGUAGCUCAACUGGAUAGAGCAACAGGCUACGAACUUGUAGGUUGGGGGUUCGAGUCCCUCCGACCGCA
rnacentral:tRNA from 1 species